CUCUCGCUCUCUGCGCUGUUGUAGCUGGACCCUCUGCCUUCGCCACCGCUUAGCAUCUGCACAUCCCUACAAUGGCUAAAACAGCAAUGGCCUACAAGGAAAAAAUGAAGGAACUGUCCAUGCUGUCCUUGAUCUGCUCUUGCUUCUACCCGGAACCUCGCAACAUCAAAAUCUAUACUUACGAUGAUAUGGAAGUGAAGCAAAUCAACAAGCGUGCCUCCGGCCAGGCUUUUGAGCUGAUCUUAAAACCACCAUCUCCCAUCUCAGAAGCUCCACGAACUUUAGCUUCUCCCAAGAAGGAAGACCUGUCCCUGGAGGAGAUCUGGAAAAAACUGGAGGCUGCAGAGGAAAGAAGAAAGUCUCAGGAGGCUCAGGUGCUGAAACAACUGGCGGAGAAGCGGGAACAUGAGCGAGAGUUCCUCCAGAAGGCUUUGGAGGAGAACAACAACUUCAGCAGGAUGGCGGAGGAGGAGCGGAUCCUGAAGAUGGAGCAAAUCAAGGAAAACCGUGAGGCGAAUCUAGCUGCUAUUAUUGAACGUCUGCAGGAAAAGGAGAGGCAUGUGGCGGAGGUGUGCAGGAACAGCAGCUGCAGGUCGAACUGCCUGGCUGAAGUGGAGGGUAUGGCACGCCCCACCAUUAGUAAAUCCCCCUGCCUAUAUUAUAAUGGAUCAUGCGAUAUCCGUAUGGGAAAUGUAUGA